rnacentral:misc_RNA from 1 species
CAUGUUUUCUUCUAAUUGACAUGGGACAUGUCUCGCAUCAAAUGAUUUAAAAGAGGCACACUGUUCCUCUUUUCUGCUUUAGACUGAAAUACUAGUAAAAAUUAACCUGCAUUGGUGAUUUGUUCAUAAAGAUGGACAUAGUCUCAAUUAGGUUCGUUUUCUAGUCUCAUUUAGAUUCAUUUUGAUAAAUCUUGACCACCUACAAACUGAAGAUAAGAUAUUUUCUAUUGUUGCCAUGUUAAUUCAUAUAUUUUCUAUUGUAAUCAAAUUUUGUGCCUUGAAUGGGACAAUUUGUCCUACAUUGAUAAGUAGGCGAGCCUGUCUUCUUUUUAUUUAAUUCCAGCUAAUAUGGGGAAUUUGCCCAGUAGUUAAUUCCAGCUUUUACACACUCUGGUUUUGUUGGUUAACAGUUGAAUUGGACACAUGAAAGCUAAAACAGAACCAAAUGUUUUGUUAACCUAUUUUGUGGUCGAGUUUUUAGUUUUACAGUCUUCUUAUCAUAU